UACAGAGGUGGCAAGCGUUGUUCGGAAUUACUGGGCGUAAAGGGCGCGUAGGCGGCCUUCUAAGUCAGACGUGAAAUCCCCGGCUUAACCUGGGAACUGCGUCUGAUACUGGAGGGCUUGAGUGCGGGAGAGGGAUGUGGAAUUCCAGGUGUAGCGGUGAAAUGCGUAGAUAUCUGGAGGAACACCGGUGGCGAAGGCGGCAUCCUGGACCGACACUGACGCUGAGGCGCGAAAGCUAGGGUAGCAAACGGG
rnacentral:rRNA from 1 species